GAAUGAACUUGGCUUUGAACUUAGCAUCGUGAUCAUGAAGGUAGUUCUCCCAGGGUGAGGUUUACCCAUUGCAUCCUGGAUGAGGUGAUGCCUUCGAGUUCCCCAAAUUCAGGAAACUCAAGCAUAAUUUGUGGUAGUUGGGGAGCCAUAUUUGCUCUCUCUGA
ensembl:snRNA Gm25124 predicted gene, 25124